rnacentral:lncRNA from 1 species
AGAUUGUGCUUAUGUCGCUACCUCCUACGUCUACACCAGUACAAUUUCAGGUCCGUAUAUAUGGAUCAACCUGUUAUUUGUACCAUGUCACUGAUUCAUACUGGUUGUUAGAAUUUAGUUGCUUGUCAAAUGUUCAUUGUAUUAAGAAGUAUGAUGUAGCGUCUGUAUCCAAUGCAACUUGGCUAUAGCUAGCUCUGCCUGGUGAAAGCAUUCUUCCAUGCUAAGUAGCCAGUCAUUUUGCAUUUAGUUUUGUCAUAAUAUUAAUUCAGGUUCUACAGUCUGCUAGGUCAUGUUUUUUAUUUACUUAAGUUCCCAUCUAAUUGACUGAAUUAGUCACGUAUGGGAGAGCAGUCUGAAAGUUAUAACAGGGUAUGCAAUAAUAGUGUGAUUUAUGUUGCUGGAAGAACUGCCAAUGCUUUUGUCAUUUUUCAGGUUUGCUCUCCGUUCUGUUGGCAAGGGAUCUUUGGUCAUGCAUCAAUUGUAGAAUGGCAAUAGUUGAGCAUCAAGGGACAACCGAAAUUACUAUGAUGAUAUUUCAGGUAGUAAUUACUCGAACAUAAACUUUUCUUGUUCUUCUUUUUUUUCUCCUUUAUUUUGGUAUAAUGAUGUGUUGAUGCCCCCUGUCAUGUAAUUAUUCCAAGAUAGCCUGACUGUAAUAUUUCUGGGAGAAAUAUUAUUACGAAUAAAGAAAGCUUUAUUUCAGGCAUCUUAAUAUUUCAUAUCGUCCUAAUAUUACAGUCAGGCUAUCUUGGAUGAAAGACAUAGUUCGUGUGAAUCAUGACCUUCUAUGCAAUAUUUCUUUCCGUGUAAUCAUUCAUGUGUGUAUAUGUGGGUAUGUUUGUUGGUAUCUACUCACUAUAUUAUAUACCAUGUUAUUCAGAGAUCCCGGGCCCUGCGGGGAGAUCAGAGGCUGGCAGUGCAUGCAACAGGGCAUGUUAAUCAGGCAAAUUAUCAUUCAAAGACUGGGUCUAUGAUGCUUGGGGCGAAGGUCCUAUUUCUCUCAUUCCUCCCUUCCAACCCUCAACUUUCUGGAUCAUGGAUGUAAGCUGUGCACAGUCACAUUUUUUUGGUAAAUGCAUAUGAGCAAUGAAUUUGGGAGCAUUUUUAUUCUGGUGUUAGUUUGCUUGAUCUAAAUAUAUGAUGUAUUGAUCUGUACGCUGAUGAACAAUUUGGCUGAUGCAUAUUGUUCCUUAGCUGAUCUAUCUGACCACUACAGUUAUGUGGCUUGAUUGGCUUUGUGACUUGAUUACAUAUUGUGGUUCGACCAGAUUGGCUUGUGAGAUGCGAUAGUAUGCAGGGUAGUCCUAUUUUUAUUUCAAAAGCUUAGUAUUUUUUUUACAAUGGAUAGCACAACUUAGGCACGCUUCACUUGUUUGCCAACCUGUUCCCAGAAUCUUUAUUUUAGUUCCUUCCUGCAUCAGAUCUUUUUUAUCUUUAGGCUGAAUGAUAGAGUGGAGAUGUUAAGCUCCUUCAUGCUUAGAACAUGGUGAUAAGGAGAACAUCUUUUUUUAGGCUGAUUUAUUUGAGAUGUUUAAACAAUGAUUGCUACUUUCAAAUAGAUUUGAUAUGUUUCUCUGAAGUUUCAUUCAUUUCAUGUGUGUUCAGGUAUAUAUACUAGAAGUUAUUAUGGCUCACUUACAUUUAUAUCACGUCGACACAGCGGAUCAGCUGGUUAGAAUUCUGUAUAUUUUUCUUCACCUCGUGAGAGGCACAUCUUUCAACCAAGAAUUUCAUCAGUGACUAUCCUGAGGACAUGGUGAGAAUACAAUCUCAACACUUGCAUUUUCAUCUCCUUCUACCUUUUUUGUUUUUUGAGGUGUUAGAAAGCUUUGCAAGGUCCCCUUCUCAGAACAGCAGCAAGUCGUGGGAAACAGUUCUGGAUUGUGUGUGUAUGGUAGUUUGCAAGUGAAUUUGCGACUAUUUUGGUUAUUGUCCCCAAUUGAGGUUAAUUUGAAAUUGUGGAUGCACACAUGGUUUGUGUUCUUUAUCAUGGGGUAUCUGUUCUUUUGCACAUAGGUAGAAAGUGCUUGGUGGGUUUUUUCUUUUAGUUCAAUUGGCAUGGCCUACUGAUGUGUGCGCUGGUCCUGCGUGUCCUGUGUCAUGCCAGUGGCGUCAGUUUGUGAGGAUUGUUUGAUAGAACAUGCUCGUCAUAGUGUGUUGUCAGGAAGGUGUGGAUGCAAUAAGACAUGUGCCCUUUAGUUUAGUCUCGUUUUUUUUCUGGUACAUUUGAAUUAGUCUAUUAGUCCGUGUCCAUGUAUUCUUUUGUUUUUGGUUGGCACUUUCAGGUUUGUUUGCCGAGAGACAGAGAGUUGUUUGUCCAUUCACACAUGAUAAAUAGAUGGUUGGAUUUUUUUUGUGUUGGAUUGAUGCUUGUGAAAGAGUGUGGAAAGGAUAGGAUGUUUAUUGGGUUCUUUUGUUGGAUUCGGUCUCCCGAUGGUGCCAUUGUUGGUCUGGUUUGGUUAAUCCUUGCCUAUUCAUUUAUCUUAGGGAUUGGAUCGCUCACAUGGUUUGUUAGGAAGUAAAUGGAGGUUGUACACCUAUUGUGGUUGCAGUUCUGUUAAUCAAAGUGCUGUUUAGUGGGGGGUCUGGUGCUAACUUUUUGGUAGGAAUUUCACUUCUGCCCUAAAAAAGCAACCUGCAAAUGUCCAACUGAUAAUAGUUCCAAUGUGCAUUUUCUUGCUCAGACCAUGAAACCUCUUACAACAGCGACAAUGUGAGAGAUAAUCGUAAAAAUAAACAGAAAUACCGGGUGAAUCAUGUAUGUUCAUACUAUGGCAGUUAUCUUCAGUCAGUGAGCGAGAAUGGACCUGAGCUGCAAUCCUCGCUUUUCUCUAUUCCUUUUAUGAAAUUUCAUUCAUGGUGAAAAUGUUCUCUCUUAAUACUGUUGUUGCAUCACCGUCUGAGAUAAUUUACUCCAGUUGUACAUAGGUAUCCAUCCUUUUCCUGCUCAAGUAUCAAGUGGAUGAUAUGUUGCUCUCACCUACAUCAUCUUUUCUUGCAGGCACCUUCUUCUUUCAGCUGCAAUAUUUAUUUGGAUCUCUCGGUUGUGAAGUGCCAUAUUUUCUACUUAUACUCUGCAGGCACAAUAUUACAGAUUUAUUUUCAAUCUUAGUAUGCCAUCUAUCCGAAUUUUGUAUAGCUUGCAUAGUGCCUAAUAUCAUGAGCUAAUGCUAAUAUUGUUUAUAGAGCUUUCAUAUUAUCAUGAUGACACCUUGGACCUGCUUGGCAGCAAAAAGAUGAACCAAACCCAAUGUGAUUCACCAUGUAGGCUUUUUUGGUGGAGCAAAAUGACGAAGGUUCUGAGAAUCGGAGGUAGUGUAGUAUAGCUUAUGACUACAUAGCUACCUUGUGGAUAUGUUGGCUAUAGAACCAAGUGUACAAACAUGUUUCCUUGUGAUUGUUUUGUUUUGGUUAUGUUCUGGUGCAAAUGGUUUUUCCAUGUGAGUUGCUCGCCGUGAGGUGGGCAACGCGCGGCAAGGCGCGCCACU